rnacentral:rRNA from 1 species
ACCUAAAGUGGAGGAAGGUGGGGAUGACGUCAAAUCAGCACGGCCCUUACGUCCAGGGCUACACACGUGUUACAAUGGCCGGUACAGAGGGCAGCCACCCCGCGAGGGGGCGCGAAUACCCGAAAGCCGGUCCCAGUUCGGAUCGGAGUCUGCAACCCGACUCCGUGAAGCUGGAUUCGCUAGUAAUCGCGCAUCAGCCACGGCGCGGUGAAUACGUUCCCGGGCCUU